UACGAAGGGGGCUAGCGUUGCUCGGAAUGACUGGGCGUAAAGGGCGCGUAGGCGGAUUGUACAGUCAGGCGUGAAAUUCCCGGGCUCAACCUGGGGGCUGCGCUUGAGACGUGCGAUCUUGAGUGGGGAAGAGGGUCGUGGAAUUCCCAGUGUAGAGGUGAAAUUCGUAGAUAUUGGGAAGAACACCGGUGGCGAAAGCGGCGCACUGGACCAUAACUGACGCUGAUGCGCGAAAGCUAGGGGAGCAAACAGG
rnacentral:rRNA from 1 species